UCCAGGGCGGCCGUCCCAGGCAGGCGACGGUCUUCUUGGCGGCCAGGCUGCGUAUGCGUCACGAGGAAGUCUCCAGACGGAGCGCGGCCGCCAAGGCGCAGUAGCAGGGCGACGACGUCGUCAGACCCCUCUGACUUCCAUGGCGCGUCUUCAAACCCGGCCGAUCCCGGCGAGUGUGGCGGCCGCGCAGGGCAGUGGCGUAUUCGAUCUUCUGGGUCUCGGGGUGGUUCCCACUGGGGCUCUCGCGCUGUCUCUCUGGAGCAAAAGGCCCCCCUCACACGGCUUUCGCCAGUGCAUCGCUUUUCCCAGCGGAAAUUCACAGAGACAAGGGGAUUGAGAAGGGACACAUCCAGAAUAUACUUUGGGCCAGGCACAGUGGCUCACGCCUGUAACCCUAGUACUUUAGGAGAUCAAGGCAGGCAGAUUGCUGGAGCCCAGGAGUUCAAGACCAGCCUGGCCAACGUAGCGGAAACCCGUCUCUACCAAACAACAACAACAACAACAAAAAUUAGCUGGGCAUGGUGGUGUGUGCCUGUAGUCCCAGCUACUUGGGAGGCUGAGGUGGGAGGAUUGCUGGAGCCUGGGAGUUCAAGGUUGCAGUGAGCCAAGAUCACAUCACUGCACUCCAGCCUGGGCAACAGAGGCAGACUUGGUCUCAAAAAACAAAACAAAACAAAAGAACACACUUUGCAGCCUCCCUCCAUCAAGGGGGCUGCUUUCUGUCCAGCGGAAUGUGAGUAAAGUGGCAAAGCCACUUCCAGGUCUGGCCCAUGAAAAUCUACCCUUAGCUCUCCAAUCCUCUCCUCUAGGUGUUGGCCGACUUUUUCUGCAAAGGACCAGAUGGUAAUGGUUUUAGACUUCAUGAGCCAUGCCAUCUCUAUUGCACCUAAUCAACUCUGCCGUUGUUGUGUGAAGACAGCCAUAAGCAAUAAGUAAAUGUGUCUGUUUCAAUAAAACUUUAUCUACUAAA